UCUCAACCACUGCGCUACCAGGGAAGCCCUUCACAUUGCAUUUUACCAGAUUCUUUCCCAUUAUGGGUUAUUCCAAGGUAUGGAAUACAGCUCCCUGUGCUAUAAGCUCACGUCCAUUAGGAAAGGAGGAGCAGUAACAAGUUACAUACUGCAAAGAAGCGUUACACGUUCAAUGACAGUUGCCUAAGAGAAGGCUGGAGAUGUAAUUUCGUCUGUGCUGUCUUCCUUUUCUCAGCUUGCAGGCCGCAGGAGAGCUCAGAGCCCGACUCGCGAAGUUUGACUCUGACACGCUGGCUCCAGGCAUUCGGUCCGUGAGGAAGUGACAUGUGAUACCGUGUCAGCUUCCAAAACUUCCACCUGGCCUUGAUCGCCUGGGGUCUCCAGACACUUGUGUGUGUUGAUCUCGGAUGCAGAACUGCUGCCGGCCUCGGAGGCAUCUCGGGGGCUAUGGAGACAGGAACAUUCCCAUCGAUGAGGAUGCCAGGAAGCAGGCGGUGGUGGGCUUAGGGUUCAAGCUUCGGGGACUGAUGCAGUUCUGAUGCAGGAUUCCAGGCCUGUCUUUAUCAAGCCUCUGCCCGGCCUCGUUCUCACCCAGGCACUUAGUGAUUCACUGGCUUAUUCUGCAAAUACUCACCAAGGGGCUGCUGUGUUGCAGGCACUGUUUAGGCCCGGGAGACAGAGGUGGGGAAGCAGAGUCCCUGCCCUCACAGAGCUUCCCAGGACCUGGGACUCUGCAGCGAAAACUGGGCAAAUCCUGGGCAAACGGGGACCAGUUGGUCACGCCACGUGGGGGACAAGCCAUCAGCGAGCACACAAAUAAAUAUGGUAAGUUCAGACAGUGAUACAGGCCAAGGAAUAAGGCGGGUGAUGUGCUACCAGUGGAGGGUAGGAGGAAGCUUCUGUUGACAGCUGGGCACGGCGGGGAGGAAUGUCACAGGCCGAGGGAGCCAGGACACAGCCGGCAAGGCAGAAGUCAGGAGAGAAAGGCUUGAGGCUGGAGUGGAUGGAGAGGAAGCAGGUGGCAUCAGGGAGGCAUGGAAGGAGCUGGGAUUCUGCGACAACACGAAUCUGGCCAAUCAGCAGUUACCGAGGCCGGGGCCGCCUUCACGGGCUUUACUUGUGUUGACUCGCUUCAUCCUCACAACAAAGGUAGGCUCGUGUCAUUAUCCUGCCCACGUGAUGGAGGAAGAAACCCAGGUACAGGAGGCGUGAGGACGUAGCCCAGGCUGACGCUAAAGAGGCCGCCCCCCACCCCACUACCACCCGGCGUUUGGACCAAACCCCCCCUGGCGCCUCCCUGCGUGACCUGCCCAGUCCAGACCCGUCGCACCCCAGGGCCUCCCGGCUGUGUUAAAAGUCACAGAUUGUCUGUGAGCUGCGCCUCUGUAAUAUUUUCACAAUGGGUUUCAAAUGAAGAAACCAAGGAGGCGAAACGAUGAUGGCGUAUCGCCUUUUUAACUUCCACCCUGCUUCUUUAUAACCACCCUCAAUGUGUUAUUUUUGCCCCUCCUUGAAUGUAGAAAACAACAUAGCCAUCCAAGUGCAGAGACUGUCAUACCGGCAACAAAAUUACUUUAUCAGCUGUGGUUAACAAUAGGGUUUUCUUUCCUCUACCAUUUCUGAUAAAAUGUUUGCACAGCAUUAUAUGGGGAAACACAGAGCUACCGCAACAAUACAUGAACAAGGAUAAUUUGUGUGUUGGCAUUUCCACGAUAGAAUGUCAAGUAUUUCAUACCCCAGUGAUACUGAGCCUUUCUAAGCCGACUGCUUUGAAAAAAAAAAUGCUUCAUGUUCAUUUCAUUAUUAAUCUUAAGCUGUACAUAUACAUUACAGACACUCUUUUUGUAUGGUAUGUUUCUCAAACAAUAUUUGAAAGUCUGAAUAAAAAUAAAUAGGCGUUUAGAAUGAUUGCAUUGAAAUACGCAUUGAAAAUGCUACUGUGUCAGGCAAACUAACGCAGUUGCUACUGAUGGAGAACCUUUUUUUCUAAGACCACCCUGCCCUUAUUUCAUGUAAUGCCCCAUCCUUUUCAGGAUUCCCUGCAAUGAUCACUUUGAAAGGGACUUUGUCGCUUUUGUAGGACAUGAUGAUUAAUCAAUGUGGACUCAUUUCUCUCAUUAUUCUUACAGUUCUGCUUCAGACAGACACUUUCCAGGUGGUAGAUAAGGAUAAUCAGAUCCCAAAUUUAACGAGAAAUCAUCACAUCUUAAGAGUACUUACAAAUCACGUAUUGUAAAAUGAGUUGAAAAGUAAUCUGUAUGCAUCAUUUGAAUUUUAGGGAUUCCUUUAUUCUUAAGAAAUCGCUUUUAUAUUAAACCAAAGUAGACAGUUGAGACAGAAAAGUAUCAAAAGGAAAAAAAAAAGGUAGGAGAGACCUGUAGGUAACUCUGGUUUUGCAUUUCAAAAAGAACCCUCAAAAGCAGAAAGGACCAGCCCUCAAGUCCCCCUGUGGUGUGUAGGAUCCUGGUGAAGACCUUGUAUGGUCCGUGCAGAUGUUUGAUCUCAGGUUCACAUCUGGUCCACAAGGCACGUGAUGGAGGUUCAUGCAGCCUCCAGAGGGAGAGAGUUUUGGAGCCUGAGGUGACGUAUCUUUGGACUUGCCAACAAGAUCAGGCAGUUUCGAGCAUGAAUACAGACUAAACGAAUGUUUUAGUUUUUUCAUGUCAAAGACAAGAAGACGGCUUCCCUGGUGGCGCAGUGGUUGAGAG